rnacentral:rRNA from 1 species
UACGGAGGGUGCAAGCGUUAAUCGGAAUUACUGGGCGUAAAGCGUGCGCAGGCGGUUUGUUAAGUCUGUUGUGAAAUCCCCGAGCUCAACUUGGGAAUUGCAAUGGAUACUGGCAGGCUGGAGUAUGGUAGAGGAAGGUGGAAUUCCCGGUGUAGCAGUGAAAUGCGUAGAGAUUGGGAAGAACACCGGUGGCGAAAGCGCUCUACUGGGCCUGCACUGACACUGAGGGACGAAAGCUAGGGGAGCGAAAGGG